GAUGCGGCUUCCAAAUCAACGAUCGGCUCGUUAGACUUGAUCUACACUAUUAAAAGUAUUUGGAAACUAAAUUUCAUAAUUUUUCGACAUCAUUUGGCUAGUGAUCAAAAGUUCAAAAUUAACAAUUUUAAUGGUAGAUAUGAUGCGUUUUUAAGUUCAACGGUGUAGAAGUAUCCAAAUUAGAUGAAAUUUAAUAGAAAAUUCUACUUAACAUCAAUAGCAAGACCAAUACUUCCGAUUUGAAAUUUG
rnacentral:lncRNA from 1 species